rnacentral:antisense_RNA from 1 species
CUUCAUCGACCCCAGGUACAGCGGCUCGCCCGCGCGGUCCGCGCCGUAGGUCGCGAUCAGCGCCUGCGCCUC